rnacentral:rRNA from 1 species
UCCGGAUUUAUUGGGUUUAAAGGGUGUGUAGGCGGAAAAAUCAGUCAGUGGUGAAAUCCUGCAGCUUAACUGCAGAACUGCCUUUGAUACUGUUUUUCUUGAAUAUAGUUGAAGUGGGCGGAAUGUGUCAUGUAGCGGUGAAAUGCAUAGAUAUGACACAGAACACCGAUUGCGAAGGCAGCUCACUAAGCUAUUAUUGACGCUGAGGCACGAAAGCGUGGGUAGCGAACAGGAUUAGAUACCCUGGUAGUCCACGCCGUAAACGAUGAUUACUCGAUGUUGGCGAUAUACUGUCAGCGUCCAAGCGAAAGUGUUAAGUAAUCCACCUGAGGAGUACGGUCGCAAGAUUGAAACUCAAAGGAAUUGACGGGGGCCCGCACAAGCGGAGGAACAUGUGGUUUAAUUCGAUGAUACGCGAGGAACCUUACCUGGGCUUAAAUGUAAGAUGACAGGCUGGGAAACCAGUCCUCCUUCGGGCAACUUACAAGGUGCUGCAUGGCUGUCGUCAGCUCGUGCCGUGAGGUGUCGGGUUAAGUCCCAUAACGAGCGCAACCCCUAUCUCUAGUUGCCAGCACAUAAUGGUGGGGACUCUAGAGAAACUGCCCGCGCAAGCGGUGAGGAAGGUGGGGAUGACGUCAAGUCAGCACGGCCCUUACGUCCAGGGCUACACACGUGUUACAAUGGCCGGUACAGAGGGCAGCUACCUGGUGACAGGAUGCAAAUCUCUAAAGCCGGUCUCAGUUCGGAUCGAAGUCUGCAACUCGACUUCGUGAAGUUGGAUUCGCUAGUAAUCGCGCAUCAGCCUCGGCGCGGUGAAUACGUUCCCGGGCCUUGCACACACCGCCCGUC